rnacentral:pre_miRNA from 1 species
CAUAUACUCCCUCCGUCCGGAAAAGCUUGUCCCAAACUUGUCUCUCAAAUGGAUGUAUCUAGCACUAACUUGGUGCUAGAUACAUCCAUUUGAGGGACAAGUUUUUUCAGACGGAGGGAGUAUCUA